GUGCCAGCCGCCGCGGUAAUACGUAGGUGGCAAGCGUUAUCCGGAAUUAUUGGGCGUAAAGCGCGCGUAGGCGGUUUUUUAAGUCUGAUGUGAAAGCCCACGGCUCAACCGUGGAGGGUCACUGGAAACUGGAAAACUUGAGUGCAGAAGAGGAAAGUGGAAUUCCAUGUGUAGCGGUGAAAUGCGCAGAGAUAUGGAGGAACACCAGUGGCGAAGGCGACUUUCUGGUCUGUAACUGACGCUGAUGUGCGAAAGCGUGGGGAU
rnacentral:rRNA from 1 species